rnacentral:rRNA from 1 species
UACGGAGGGGGCUAGCGUUGUCCGAAGUUACUGGGCGUAAAGCGCGCGUAGGCGGGUUGGUAAGUCCGCUGUGAAAGCCCGGAGCUUAACUCCGGAGGGUCGGUGGAUACUGCCAGUCUUGAAGGUGCUAGGGGGAGAUGGAAUUACCGGUGUAGCGGUGAAAUGCGUAGAUAUCGGUAGGAACACCAGUGGCGAAGGCGGUCUCCUGGGGCAUUCUUGACGCUGAGGCGCGAAAGCUGGGGGAGCAAACGGGAUUAGAUACCCCGGUAGUCCCAGCCCUAAACGAUGAAUACUAGGUGUCGGGGGUAUCGACCCCUCCGGUGCCGCCGCUAACGCAGUAAGUAUUCCGCCUGGGGAGUACGGCCGCAAGGUUGAA